GGAGCCGGCGGCUGGGGACGCGGGGACGUGGGAGCCUUGGGGCCGUGCGGGCGGCAGGGCCUGAGGAGGGCGGGGCGAGGGGCUGCCGUUGCAGUUUUCGUGCUUUUCUUGCGAGGAACGGGUUGCAAAGGAACGUCCUGGCGUCAGAGUGCUUCCUGUGCCUUAGCACCUGCGUUGGGCUCUCUGCCUUGCUCGUCCCCGGGUGACCCCCCGCCGCACUCGGUGUGAGGCCUUGAGCGGCCCUCCAGGUCCCGGUGGUGCUGGGAUCUCUGGGUUCCUGUCGGAGGGACUGGAACCCCGUGAGUUUCGUGGCCGGCUCUCCCCAUGGCCCUCCGCCGGCUCUCCCGCUCUGCGACCAUCUGCUACACUACUGGACAGAUGAAUUUGUCCCAUUGAGUUCAGGCGGGUGUCAUAAUCUGGUCCAAGUGUGAGAAGCAGAGAUUUUAGGAGGGAUUGAGGGUCCCGGGGCCCCUGUCAACUCUCAGAAUCUGGGUUCAGCCCUGCCGCCCAGCGUGGGAUCAGGUGGGUGAUGGGGUGUCUUCCCUUGUUCAGAGCGAUGUCCAUGUGCCUUUUUAAAACAGCUGUCAUUUACUGUGUGCCUAACCCCGCGCACGAAAUGCCUUUCUUUCGUGAUGUCGUGUGAUUGUUGAAAUGACCCCGCGUGAUAGGCGGUUUCCCGUUUUACAUAUAGGAACACAGUUAAGUAACUUAGCCGGGGUCACCCAGGUCGUGUGGAGCAGGGAUGAAAAUGUCCAGGUCUUGCUGCCUCCAAAACCCACACUACUGUGUAUACUUUCUAAGGAACAACUUAAAGUAGAUACUCCCAAGUAUAAGACAGCGAAAUGUGCGGACAGUCUGGGUUAAAAUUAAAAGCAUUUAUAUAACAUGCCUUUUUCUUUAAGGGUAGUAUUUAGUUUCACAAUGUUUGGGGACUUAUUUGAAGAGGAUGAUUCCAGUGUGUCACAUAAUCAGUAUGGAAAAGGGAAGAAAUUAAAGACCAAAGCUGUGGAGGCCCCUGCUCCUAGAGAAUUCAUCAGUUUAAGCGGAAUCAGAAAUCAGGGUGGAACCUGUUACCUCAAUUCCCUUCUUCAGACUCUUCAUUUCACCCCUGAAUUCAGAGAGAUCGAACAACUGCCCUGACCUGUGUAGACUGAACCGAAAUUCUUUCCGGCUAGACCCAGUAGUCAGCUGUGCUGGGCCUCACCAAAAAUAGAAAAAGACUGGAAGUGAUUUCUUUUUCUUUCCCCAUUAAAACUAUGUUAAUGUUUUCCUGAA